GGAAGUAAAAGUCGUAACAAGGUCUCCGUAGAGCAGCCGUAGGUGAACCUGCGGAGGGAUCAUUA
rnacentral:rRNA from 1 species